rnacentral:rRNA from 1 species
UAGGGANUCUUCGGCAAUGGGGGCAACCCUGACCGAGCAACGCCGCGUGAGUGAAGAAGGUUUUCGGAUCGUAAAGCUCUGUUGUAAGAGAAGAACGAGUGUGAGAGUGGAAAGUUCACACUGUGACGGUAACUUACCAGAAAGGGACGGCUAACUACGUGCCAGCAGCCGCGGUAAUACGUAGGUCCCGAGCGUUAUCCGGAUUUAUUGGGCGUAAAGCGAGCGCAGGCGGUUAGAUAAGUCUGAAGUUAAAGGCUGUGGCUUAACCAUAGUACGCUUUGGAAACUGUUUAACUUGAGUGCAGAAGGGGAGAGUGGAAUUCCAUGUGUAGCGGUGAAAUGCGUAGAUAUAUGGAGGAACACCGGUGGCGAAAGCGGCUCUCUGGUCUGUAACUGACGCUGAGGCUCGAAAGCGUGGGGAGCAAACAGGAUUAGAUACCCUGGUAGUCCACGCCGUAAACGAUGAGUGCUAGGCGUUGGGUCCUUUCCGGGACUCAGUGCCGCAGCUAACGCAUUAAGCACUCCGCCUGGGGAGUACGACCGCAAGGUUG